CCUCCUUUCUCCAUGGCUUGUACUGAGUUUCUGAAGAGCACAACCAAGGCAGGAGUGGCCAGGCAUGCCAUUGGCUGAGGGCAGGACUGUCUUCCCAGCACUUCAGCACUGGGUACUCCCCGAAGAAAGCAGGAGCCUUUGCAGCCGCCUCUUCCAGCCGCUGGGGGUGGACGCCUGGUCAAGGGGACCCAAGGGCAGCGUCAGGGCUGCUGAGUCACCUGCCCAGUAAGAACAGGAGCUACACAGGAAGACAUCCUAGAAACAUGAUUUGCUGCUGCUGCUGCUGCUGCUGCUGCUGCUGCUGCUGCUAUCAUCAUUCUCCUUCUCCUCCUCCUCUCCCUCCUCCUCCUCUUCCUCCUCCCCUUCCUCUUCCUUCUUCCUCCUCCUUCUCUUCCUCCUCCUCUUCUCCUCCUCCUCCUUCUCUUUAAGUUAAGAGGAACAAGGAUCCAGAGAAGAUUCAUGAGGUAAAAGAUGGCAUCAGAGCCCCCUGGAUCAGCUCUGCACUGCUGAGGCCUGCUCAAGCCUGAGGACCUCCAGACUUGCACUGAAAACUCCCCCUUAGCUAAAGACCAGAAUGCCAGCUGAGGGCUUCGGGGAGCCCUGCACAAACAACUUUGCGCCCACUCACAUCAACCCUCUCCCCGACUUCUGCUUUGCCUACAUUUGAGGAGAAGACAAGCUUGGGAGACCAGGUGAUCUGCCCAACAGACCUGUGUGGCCUGACUCAAAGCCACCAAGCCACAGAACUGCUCUGCAGUGCCACCUGUGGGCCUAGCAGUCACCUGGCACCAGUAGGUGACGUUGUCCCACUGUGCAGCCAGCCUUAUCCCAAAUGACACUGAGUUUUCCCUUUCUCGUAGCAAAACAACAACAACAACAACAACAAAUGUUCUUUUCAGUACUAAGUCUAAGUUAAAAUUGAGCUGACUGAAUAAAAAUGUGAUAAGAAACAGUGA